rnacentral:ribozyme from 14 species
UUGAAAGUCUCUGCUUUUUCCCUUUUUCCUUGUCCUUCUUUUUUUUUUUUCUCUGUCU